rfam:Fukomys damarensis contig116272, whole genome shotgun sequence.
AUCGCUUCUCGGCCUUUUGGCUAAGAUCAAGUGUAGUAUCUGAACUAACUUAUAAGACAAUCUGGGGAAAAGAAUCAUUUUAGCUCUUUUGAGUGCUUGAGGGUAAACCCUUACCUGUUUGGCUCAUUACUAGAUACCUAAGAUGUAACAGUACCUGGUAUUUUAUAUAGUGCCAGAGUAAU